rnacentral:lncRNA from 1 species
CAAUCUGAGCAAAUAGGCUGGAGCAUGGGUUGCUUCACCUGUCUGCAGAAAAAGCUGGAUGGAACUUCUAAUUGACCGUACCAAAUUAACUGCUUAAUUUGAUUGUGAUAAGGUCACAGAAUUCUGGCAUCUGGAAUAGCGAAAAAUAAAUUUUUCGAGAAUACAAGGGCGACAAAAUGUGUUGCAAAUUAAGUGAAAGAAUAAUGAAACAACUUUUAAGUGAUCCCCAA